CACAACAGUCUGUACUAUGGGUUCUAUAUCCUAGUCAUCCCAAGUGCUAUUGAAUAAUAUUGCCUUUAGACAUUUUUUUACACUAGUUGGCGCUUGAGUGCUGUGUUUAGAGCACUACUGGAUACCACUUUUUGUGCACUUCCACUACCGUAACAUAAGUCCGCUGUGUUGACCACCGUUAGGCACGGGAGACUCUGCUCCUCUCGGGCCAAGGCGGGCAGCCACGGAUGCCCCACUGUGGAGGCAUCCUGGCCAAGCCUUGCACGGCCCGGCCCGGGCCAGCCCAGCUCUGCUCAUUGCCAGCGUGGCGGUGACGUGCGCUGAGGCCACUGCCGGCAGCCAAACAUUGAUAUUAAAUUGCUGUUGGGAUUAUUCGGCCAUGUGAGAAACUGUAUAAAGGUCCUACACUGAUGUCUUUCACUUUGUUCUUGUAAACUAUAUUGAUAGGAAUCAUGAAUCUCGUCUUCACUACCUAACCCCACAUUCUUGCUUCCAAACACCGAUCACGGCUCCACCUUCUCACAACUUAUUCCCACACACGUUACUUUCACUGAACAAAAAAGCACAACAGCAUAGUGAUAUUACCUUUCUCCUUGUACCCUAUUUUUUAGAAGAGUUAAAACAGCAGUUAAAGACAUUCAUUUGGCCGUGGCUGUGGCGUCACCGCACAUAACCCCCGCGCUGCUGUCCCGCUGUGGGCCGGCGCUGCGUCUCCACCACCCACUCGGUCCCAGGAGUGUCCCGAGGCAGCCAAUGCAGCUCAUGACACUCCACAAAAUUCCAGGGACGGCAAAAACCCCACAGAAACUCUUAUCUCUUUGCUCGUGUCACUCGCGUCCUCGGAGGGAGUGUGUCGGGCAAUCUCGUCUUAGUUGGUUUACAUAGGUUUAGUUUUAUUUUGGUGCUCUGGCAAUGAUGACCAGGAGGGUUUGUUUCUCGGAGGAAUGUAUUGUAAAGAAUUGUAUGAGAGAACGUGUCUGGGGUUGAAGAGGUUUGAGAAAUUUCUGCAUAUUAGUGUGAUGGGUCUUGUAGGGGAGAUGGUAUGGAUUGGAUAGCUUGUUUAAUACCUGAAUUAGUCUCCCCUUACAAACAGGUGAUAGUGUAGUGGAAAAGGAGUGUGUUAGGCCUCAAGAAGUGUGUAUUAGUGUCAAGGUUGCAAUGGGGUGAGAAAUUACGAAGUGGUUAGCCUGAUCAGUGCUUCAAAUAGCCCCAUACAACCAGGCAUUAGACUAGCGAAAUGGGUUUCUUUGUGGCGCUGAGAACUACUGUAUAGCGUAAUGGGUCUUGUGAGGUGAAAUAUAUUAGUGUAAAGGUUGCUAUGGGGUGAGAAAUGAUGGAGUGGAUAACCUAAUCAAUGCUUCAAAUAGCCCCAUACAACCAGGCAUUAGUCUAGUGAAGGGGGUGUGUUUAUGGCACUAAGAACUGCCGUAUAGCGUAAUUGGUCUUGUGAGGUGAAAUACUAUGGAGUUGAUCCCUUAUUCAAUGCCCAGAACCCCCUUGAAACUCAUUAUAAGUAGCCCUUAGUCCUUUGAGAGUCUAGCGAGGAAAAUGCAGCCCGAGUAACGCAUUUUGCCAGAGUCACCCAAGUCAAUCUCAUGUUACCAGUCAACGCACAGCUCACCCGCUCACCCGCCAGCCUUAAGACUAGUCCCGGGUGAGGCAGCGACCCCACCCAUCACACUCGCUGCCCAAACGUGCGGGUGAAAGAGUGGAGAGUACACACCUGCGCCUGUCUCUACAUUCUGAGGGUUGGGUUUUUAGUGAAGGUGUUUCCUCUGAAUUGUUGAAAGUGCAGUGAAUUUGAGGUUGAGUUUUGUUAAUUGGUGCAGGUGAAGUGUGUCCCAGGUAGAGUUUGUUUGUUAACCCGGUAGCUGCAGGGAUCAUGUUUCUUAAAGGCCCCUCUAAGCGAGAAAAAUGAGAAAAAAACAUCACUCACGCAAACCAUUUCAUAAUAUAUAUCAACGCAUUUGUGAUCAGUUUAUGCAUCAUCUAUUUUGGGGGGUUUAUAUCAUGGCAAAAAUUUGGCCUGGCGCUGGUACACGGUAAAGUCACAAAUUUGGCCCAUCGCUGCUACCGGGUUAAAUUUUCUUAAUUUUCUUUUAUUCCUCAUUUUGUGUAACUUCUCUGAGCAACUUUUUUUACGAGUUAUUUUCUUUGCAACUUUUUAGUGUACCUAUUUUUGUUGCUGUUUUUUGUUUUGAAUUUGUCCUUGAGUGCAAAUUGGAAAGGUAUUUAUGAACUGGAGAACCAACUUUAACUUUUUUUAAUCUUUGUGUCUUUAAAAAUAUUCUUGGUGGUGACAAUUGACGAGGAAACACCUUUUAGUAUACCAUUCAUUACCUUUGUUACCCACUCAGCAUUUAUUAACCAACUACCUAUGUAUAUAAUUUCUCUCAUAUCCUCAUUACCUGUGUUUGUGGCAAGGCUUAUGUUAAGUUCCGCGAGACUCCGUUGGAAGGUAAAAAAGUAAUACCGACACGAUAUUUUUGUACCGCCCCGUGAUAGCGAAUAACACACAAGCUUCUUACACUAAACCUAAGUCGAUGUGUUGAUAUUUUAGUUCGUAUCUUUCUCUCUGUGGAGGUUUGAGGCUUGUCCCAAAAACCAGUGCAAAUCAUAGGCAUUUCCCAUAGCUACUGCAUUUACAGAACACCCCUAGCUCAUUGCCUAGACUAAUCAUAUGUACAAUUAAAUAUAUUAGACGAAAAAAAGAUGUGAUUAUAUAUAGACAAAUUAUUAUCCAUAUGAAAGUAUAUGUGAAGAUUUGACGAGACUACUAUAGCGUUUAUUUUGGAUUGGCGACAGUGCAGAGUUAAAAAUUGUAGGUGAACGAGACAUCCGCCGAGAGAGAUGAUGAUGUGUGUGUAAAUAUACGACUAGACGAGGAUGUUGCUUUGUCAUUUUUGUAUCAUAACAGGGAAGUAUAUGAACCACCGUAGCCAUUGAAUAAAAAUAAUAGAUGAUGAA